UCUGUCAUUUACAGCCUUCAAAAAUCAUCCCUUGGAUCACAUGUGUGCCAGUAGGUGGCAGAGAGGAGAGAGGCUAUUUCUAUGCUGAGUAUUCUGACCUAUGAACAUUUUAAUGAUUAUUAGUAGGCUAACAUU